AUGCAGGAGUUCCUGACGAUUGGAAUACAGGUGACAUAUAUAUGCCAGGCAGUAUGCUUAUAUGGAGAAAUUCUACAGAAGACUGCAGGUAGUGCAGAAGAAUUCAACAUCAACAAAGCUAGCUUUCAGUUGGACAAGAAGAAAAAAGAAUGCAUGGCGAGGGAAAUAUACAUGGGAGUUAUUAGUGCAGAUUUUCAAGGAAGCCUGCUUCUCAUUAAGGCCAUCUGGGUGUGGUCACUAUAUUUGGCUGGAAGUGCGACGAAGACUAAGCAAGAUGUUACAUGCAACAUGGUUUGUCGUCAGUUACGACAGUUUGGGCUGUUCGUUCUGCAUCUUAAGAAUGGGGUUUCUUGCUGCUCAUGCCAUUAUACUGCAGGAGGAGAUACAUGGUAUAGGUGUGAGUUGGAUUUGGUGAACCUACAGGACAGUAAGGUGAUGUUAGUGGUGCUGAGCUCUUGGAACUGUGAGUUAGUAACGAGGGCGGUGCAACCUCGACCUUCUUGGGAGUCUCAUUCAUUGGAAAAAUUAUCCAGCUUGCUACAUUCUGCCACAAGUGACAAUGAAAACACAGAAGUACAGGUCAGCAUGAUGCUUAUGCAUACAUCAGUUCAGUGGCAUUACUUGAGGAAAGAGGAAUUUGAGGGGAGUGGAAAUUCUUCAAGAGACGGCCUGAUGGUACCCCAAUUAGCAAAUGGAAUCCAGGGAUCUAAACUUAGGAGUUCCAACCAAGUGUCUGCUUUUCAUCAAUGGUCGGCACACUGCUUAUUUUCAGGCGCAAAAUGGCUUUGGCAGAAGGAAAUUGCACAUCCAUGCUACAUGGUAAGGGAACAUUGGCAGCUUCAUACUGAUCUUGGCAGUGCUCACAUGAGGAGAGUGCGACCUAAUGCAGCAGAGAGCAAGGGAUUCAUGAGCAAAAUCUGGCUAGGCUUUGGCAUCCCACUGGUAAAUAGUAACCUAACAGGGAACAAGCCGCUGAUGUUUAGUACUAACCCUGCAAAGGAUUUGUGA
rnacentral:rRNA from 1 species